GUCUGUUCUGCCCAUUGAGAAAGAUUCUUAAAAGGCCGCGGUAUUCUAACUGUGCAAAGGUAGCAUAAUCAGUAGCUUCUUAAUUGGAGGCUCGUAUGAAUGAUUAGAUAAGAAUUAAACUGUCUUUCCUUAAUUAACUUGAAUUUUAUUUUUAAGUGAAAAAGCUUAAAUGCGUCAGAGGGACGAUAAGACCCUAUAAAUCUUUAUGUAGGUGAUUUUUGUGUAGUAAUAUAUUAAUUUUGUUGGUUUAUUAGCAAGAAGAAAUUCAUUGUGCUGGGGCGGUAGAAAUAUAAUAAAACUGUUUGUAUGAGGAUACAAAUAUAUUUGUUAAGUUGGAGAUCUUAGUUAUAGAUUUAAAGAACAAGUUACUUUAGGGAUAACAGCAUAAUUUCUUUUGAGAGUUCAAAUCGAAAGAGAAGUUUGUGACCUCGAUGUUGAAUUAAAAGUUCCU
rnacentral:rRNA from 1 species